CCUCAAGAUACAAGAAUCUUUAUAGAUUUCUCACCUGUCACAUUUGUUCUUCAUUCCCUUGAAAAAGAUAAAAGGAAAUCCUACCUGGUUAAAGGUAAGAUUAAAAAGCUGAAAUAUUAAAGGGAUAGGGAUACCAUUAUGGUUUAAAUGCAUCCUAUCACAUCUUACAUGUUAGAAGUUUAAUCAUCAGUUAAGCAAUGUUGAUAAGUACUCUUUCAAAUAUGAUUAUAUCAAAACUUCAGCCCUCAUGUCCUCACAAAUGAAUUAUAGACAAUAUUGUGGAACACUAUUACUGAGAGUAUAGUUGGUUAUCAAAUAGGGCGAGUUCUCCCUUGCUUGGUACUACCCAUGUAAUAACUUAAUGAUGCUAAGAUGCAGAAUGAAGGCCCAACCAGAACUGCUGUAUUCACCUUGAAAUUUUUAGGCUCCAGGAUUGUUCACUAAAUAAAUGUACAUUUCUCAUUAUCAAUAUUAUUGUAUUCUGUUCUCUUCUAAAAGCAGAGAAUGGACCAAGACAGAUGAAUGCCUUAAUUUUUAUGGAUAUUCUAAACUACAAUUCCUGUGUUUCAAAUGUUGAGGAUCCUCAUGGCCAGUGGUAAUGAUCUUCACCAAAAAAGACAAUACCAACAACAGCUUCUUGCAGUGAGUACAACUGAAGUGCAGAAUCUGUAAGACGAUGCAGGCAAGCUUAUGUGAAAUUUUCAUUUCAAGCAACAGCUCAAAAAAUGGAGGAGCCAAGCUCUCUACAGAUUGUUCAGGAAGCAGUCAAGUCAUGUUGUGAAUACAGUACUAAACCCAGAGUGCAUCUCAGGCAAGGCUCCUUCCAUGGGUACUACUUCAUGAUGACUAUAGGUGGCAAGGAUACAUUCUACAUUUCAACGUUCUAAAAGAAAAAAAAUUAAAUGUGUUCAUUACAAAAGAAUGAUAAAUUUUGAAGGGCUGGUGUGGAAGAUCAGCUAGUAAAGUACUUGCUGAGCCAGCACAAUGACCCAAGGUCAAUGGAACUUGCAUGUAAAGGUAGAAGGAGAGAACCAACUCCAAAGAGUUAUGCUUUUAACUCCCCAUAACUGUGCUACAGGAAAUGUG
rnacentral:lncRNA from 1 species